ACGACCUUACUUGAACAGGAUCUGUUCUAUAGGCUCGUACCGCUGCAUCCUUUACCAAUAAGGAGGCAAGCACUUCAGUCUGGUUGAUGCAUUCUGACCUCUGGGCCAGAGCGUGAUUAACGGCCAGGAUUUCCCUGAUGGGGCAAUCCGACGGCUGUAGAGGAUCGUUCCUGCCUGGCUCACACCUGGUAGGGUGGCCCAGAGGUUGUCUGAUAGACU
rnacentral:snoRNA from 1 species